rnacentral:rRNA from 1 species
AGGUGAAUGGGGCGGGGACACACCACAGCGUUCCUCGUCGCACCCAUUGGGUGCUCGGGGUUCGGGAUGUGUCAACACCCAACACACGGGUGCGCAUCGCGCACCUUAGAAAUCCAAAGAAUGAAGCGCGGUCUAGCGCCUUGCGCGCUUGGGUCGCCGAAGGACAAAAACAUAACAAAAUCACGACUCUCGGCAACGGAUAUCUCGGCUCUCGCCACGAUGAAGAAUGUAGCGAAAUGCGAUACUUAGUGUGAAUUGCAGAAUCCCGUGAAUCAUCAAGUCUUUGAACGCAAGUUGCGCCCGAGGCCUCGGCCAAGGGCACGUCUGCUUGGGCGUCGCACUACAAAAUUGCCCUCCCCGGCGAGGAGCGGAGAUGGCCGUCCGUGUCUGCAAGUGGCGCGGUCGGCUGAAAUGAGCACGAGGUCCGUCGGUCCGUCGCGACGAGCGGUGGCUCCCAAAGGCCGGCGUUGGUUUGCGCUGAUCGAACGAUUCCUCGCGAGGAACUUUAUUCUGGGUCCAGCGGCCCGCCGCAGUGCGGGCAUGCUGUAUCUCUACCGCGUCCCCAAGUCAGGC